AGAGUUUGAUCCUGGCUCAGGACGAACGCUGGCGGCGUGCUUAACACAUGCAAGUCGAGCGGAAAGGCCCUUCGGGGUACUCGAGCGGCGAACGGGUGAGUAACACGUGAGCAACCUGCCCCUAGCUCUGGGAUAGCUCCGGGAAACCGGGAUUAAUACCAGAUACGACCACUUUAGACAUCUGCUGUGGUGGAAAGGAUUCCGGCUAGGGAUGGGCUCGCGGCCUAUCAGCUUGUUGGUGGGGUAACGGCCUACCAAGGCGACGACGGGUAGCCGGCCUGAGAGGGCGACCGGCCACACUGGGACUGAGACACGGCCCAGACUCCUACGGGAGGCAGCAGUGGGGAAUAUUGCGCAAUGGGCGAAAGCCUGACGCAGCGACGCCGCGUGGGGGAUGAAGGCCUUCGGGUUGUAAACCCCUUUCAGCAGGGACGAAGCGAAAGUGACGGUACCUGCAGAAGAAGCGCCGGCUAACUACGUGCCAGCAGCCGCGGUAACACGUAGGGCGCAAGCGUUGUCCGGAAUUAUUGGGCGUAAAGAGCUCGUAGGCGGUCUGUUGCGUCCGCUGUGAAAUCUCGGGGCUUAACCCCGAGCCUGCAGUGGAUACGGGCAGACUAGAGGUAGGUAGGGGAGAAUGGAAUUCCCGGUGUAGCGGUGAAAUGCGCAGAUAUCGGGAGGAACACCGGUGGCGAAGGCGGUUCUCUGGGCCUUACCUGACGCUGAGGAGCGAAAGCGUGGGGAGCGAACAGGAUUAGAUACCCCCGUAGUCC
rnacentral:rRNA from 1 species